rnacentral:lncRNA from 1 species
GUUGCUAUUCUUCUUUCCCUUCCCUGCUUCAUCAUCAUCAGGCUCGGGAUCCUUGGUACUGCCCGAAUCGGCAUACUUCACUAAAGCGGCCAUGAGGGUUCCCAUGUCAUUACAGAACCGCUUCAUGCGUCCCAACUUGAAUUUUAGAGGCUCAAACCGACAGUUGCCUUCCAGAGUUAAGAUCGUAGAGUCAGCAUUAAUCCUGUCAGAUGAGUACAAAAUUUCUGAAACGCGGCGCACCCAACGGGUCGUUGAUUCUCCUUCCUCCUGGACACAAGCCGCCAGGUCUACUAUGGACUUGGGCUGCUUACAUGUAUCCUUAAAAUUCUGUAUAAACCGGGCCCGCAACUGGCCCAUGAGCUGAUAGAAUUGGGUGGUAGGCUCUUUAACCAAGUACGAGCCGUGCCCUCAAGCAUCAUGGUGAAGUAUUUUGCACAUGCGGCCUCAUCCACGUCUAGCAUUUCCAUGGCCAUCUCAUAACUCUCUACCCAUGCUUCAGGGGGUAAAUCAGCGGUGUAAUUCAGCACCUUGCGUGGACCCUUGAAAUCUUUGGGCAGGCGCACAUUGCGUAAAGCGGGGAUUAAACAAGGCACUCCCAAAGCGGAUGCGACUCCUGGUCCGGCAAAGGUGGUAGGGCGAACCGGUGUAAGUUGAUCCGCACCAUCCUGCGCUGCUAACUCGGCUUCCCUCCGUGUCCGGGCUCGGUCCACCACAUCCUGAGCCUCGCGAACACCGCCUGCCGGGCUAUUGCCAUGUGCUGCUUCACAACCUCGCGCAUUGCUCGAUAUAGCCGGUUCAUCCAUGCGCCUGCUAUAGCUCCGGCUUGGACGGGGCAUAGAGUGAAUCCAAUCACGGCUGUACGAGUAUGCUUCCUGCUGAAUCAGCGUGGUCCGGAGAAGCUCCUUAACCCGGUGUGUCUCUAUCGCUUGCGGAGAGUCCCCUUCAACUGGGAUAGCCUCUAAUCGCGCGGCAGCUGCAACAAGGUUGUCCAUAGGAUUAGAAUAAUGACCUGGGGGCGUCUGGACCGGCGGAAAAUUCAUAAUGUUCUGCUGAGGAGGUUCCAUCAGGCGAGGUUGGACCGCCCCCCUGUUCCUGGUGCCUCAAUCCGGUUUGUCUCUGGGUACUGUGGCGGAUUACUGGGUCCAGCUCCUGGAGUGUGAAAGAGAUUUCGGGGGUCAAACCCUAACGACAGGCGUGAUCUGUGCUUCCGCUUCAAAACCUCCUGUGAUGCGUUCUGGUCAAGCAUGAGUUUAUAGGCCUGGGCGUCCAAAGCGGCCCGUUUUGCAGCCAUCCUGUCUUUUUCUGCUGCCAGAUCCGCUUUGUCUUGCACGAUCUGCUCUUUCACCUUUGCGAUUUCUGCAUUAUGGGCCUCCUUAUCCGCCGGAUUGUCCUCUGCCAUAAGCGCGGCUAGUGCAUCAAACAGAUCAGAUAGAACUUGAACCGGCGGGCGCACAAGGCCUCCUGCCCCUGCUGCGGCUGCCGCUGCUGAUCCGGAGAGCAUUGCUGCGGCGGUCGAAGAGUAAUUCGCCGCCUGUGUGCCGGCCAUGAAUGUUCCAACCCGGUUGACCUGGCCCGGGGGGUCCGGAAUACUGUCGCCAUCGGAACAGCCCCUAAUCUGGUCGUCUUGCAACUGGUAUAGUGAUUCGGUCUCUCCGGUCGAGGACUCGUCAUCGAAAUAGACGACGGUCUCACUACCGUGUUCUGAUUCGUCCUCACGCUCUCCUUCGUGGAUGACUCCAACGAAGACACGCUUCACGGCCGGUUUAGCCCAGGUAGAUCUCGCACGCUGAGCCGUCUCGAUGAGGUUGGUGCAGAUGUCCGGCUUAGGCCCAGGCUCACCGAUUUUGCCAAUGAAAACGUGUAUGCCACCAAAGGGGACCCGGUACCCGUACUCGAUCGAAUCGGCCUCGGGACCCCAUCCUGCAUCGUCGAUGUAGAUCCUGCCCUGACGACUCUUGGUCAUCCGGCCCACAACAUAGCCUUCGAGUCCCUUGAGCUUGCCCUCCAAGAUCGUCAAACCAUCAUGCGAUAGCCCCACGGUGGGCGCCAACUGUCGUGGAUUUGUCACGGCAGAUGUCCUAGCGGAAGGACUUAGUUGUGGAGCCAUCGCCACGGGUUUACUUGAAGGGGUUAAAGCGGACACAAAGACACGAGGGUUUUAUACUAGUUCGUCCCCUUCGAUGAAGGUAAAAGCCUACGUCUAGUUGUGAUGGAAUUGAUAUGAUCUCGAUGGCUAGGGAGCAAACAAGCUUCGCCUAGGCUCGAGUUGUGGUUGUCUGUCUUGAACCGCCACCGGGUCGUCCCCUUAUAUACACGGGUGACGCCCGUCGGUCCAUAGAGUCCUAACCGGUUCAUACUCGUAUUCCGGUUGGUAUCUCUCUAUUCCUUACUUACAAUACAAGUCAUACAUCAGGCCGGUUUACGGCUACAUGUUCUAACCGACUACAGGCCUUGGGCCUUCAUCUGUUUACGCCACUAAUGAAGUUAACCCGGCCCAAGUAGGCCGGUUUACGCCUAGUGGUAAUAUCCCCAACACUUGUUACUAUGGAAAGUAAUCCUCUGAGGGGCUUGUUCGGGGUAUCUUCACCCCGACCGGUAGAGCAAAGAGUUGCUCCUCAACCUACUGAACCUAUUGAAAAUGAAAAUGUCCCCUUUGAAGUUCCUUCGGGUAUGUUAGAAAAACUGCUAGCUGAUCCUUUUGCAGGAGAUGGAACAAAGCAUCCCGAUGAGCAUCUAAUCUAUGUGGAUGAAGUUUGUGGAUUAUUUAAGCUUGCAGGUAUACCCAAUGAUGUUGUUAAGAAGAAGGUCUUCCCUUUAUCUUUUGAGGGAUAUGCAUCAACAUGGUAUAGGCUAUGUGAUGAUACGGGGUCAUGGAACUCCAAAGGAUUGAAAUUGGAAUUUCAUCAGAAAUUUUAUCCUAUGCAUCUUGUUCAUCGUGAUCGCAAUUAUAUAUAUAAUUUUUGGCCUCGCGAAGGAGAAAGCAUCGCUCAAGCUUGGGGGAGGCUUAAAUCAAUGUUAUAUUCAUGCCCCAAUCAUGAGCUCUCAAGAGAAAUAAUUCUUCAAAGUUUUUAUGCUCGGCUUUCUGAUAACAAUCGCACCAUGCUCGAUACUUCUUGUGCUGGCUCUUUUACGAUGAAGACUAUUGAAUUCAAAUGGAAUUUAUUGGAUAGAAUUAAACGCAACUCUGAAGAUUGGGAUCUUUACAAAGGUAAGGAGUCAAGUAUGACACCUAAGUUUGAUUGUGUUAAAUCUUUUAUGGAUACUGAUGUUUUCCAUAAAUUUAGCACUAAAUAUGGACUUGACUCUGAGAUAGUAGCUUCUUUCUGUGAAUCUUUUGCUACUUAUGUUGAUCUCCCCAAGGAGAAGUGGUUUAAAUAUCAUCCUCCCGUAGAAGUGAAAGUAGCUGCAGCUACUAAAGUUGAAGAAAAGACUGUCACUUAUAAUGAUCCCAUUGUUCCUACUUCUUAUGUUGAGAAACCACCUUUCCCUGUUAGGAUAAAGGAUCAUGCUAAAGCUUCAACCGUGGUUCAUAAAAGCAAUAUUAGAACUUAUACACCUCCUGAGCAAGUUAAAGUUGAACCUAAUAUUGCUAUUCUUAAAGAUCUCUUGGCUGAUAAUAUUGAUGGGCAUGUUAUUUAUUUCUGCGGUGAAACUGCUAGAAUUGCUAAGCCUUGUGCUAAAGAUAAACAUAGACCUCUGGUAGGCAUGCUUGUUAUUUCUGUUAAAAUAGGAGAUCAUUGUUAUCAUGGCUUAUGUGAUGUGGGUGCUAGUGCUAGUGUUAUACCUCAUGACUUAUACAAAGAAAUUAAGCAUGAGAUUGCACCUGCUGAGUUAGAAGAUAUUGAUGUUACAAUUAAACUUGCUAAUGGAGAUACUAUAUCAGCAAUGGGAAUUGUUAGAGAAGUUGAAGUCUUGUGUGGGAAAACUAAAUAUCCUGCUGAUUUUCUUGUUCUUGGUUACCCACAAGAUAGCUUUUGUCCCAUUAUAUUUGGUAGACCUUUCUUGGACACAGUUAAUGCUAGGAUAGACUAUGAAAAGAGUGUUGUUACUAUUGGCUUGGGUGAUAUGUCUCAUGAGUUUAAUUUCUCUAAAUUUAGUAGACAACACCGUGAAGAAGAAUUCCCUAGUAAGGAUGAAAUCAUUGGUCUUUCUUCUAUUGUCUUACCUCCUAGUGAUCCUUUUGAACAAUAUUUGCUACACCAUGAAAAUGAUAUGUUUAUGAAUGAAAUAAGGGAAAUAGAUGAAGUAUUCUUUAAACAGGAACCCAUUCUGAAACACAAUUUGCCUGUUGAAAUCCUAGGUGAUCCCGUGUUUGAGCUUAAACCGUUGCCUGAUACUCUUAAAUAUGCUUAUCUUGAUGAGAAAAAGAUAUAUCUUGUUAUUAUUAGUGCUAAAAUUUCAGAGCAUGAAGAAGAGAGAUUAUUGAAAACUCUGAAGAAGCAUCGUACUGCUAUUGGGUAUACUCUUGAUGAUCUUAAGGGCAUUAGCCCCACUCUAUGUCACCAUAAAAUAAAUUUGGAGGAAGAUGCCAAACCAGUUCGUGAUCAUCAACGACGUCUGAAUCCUAAAAUGAAAGAAGUGGUAAGAAAAGAAAUACUAAAGCUUCUGGAGGCAGGUAUAAUUUAUCCCGUUGCUGAUAGUCAGUGGGUAAGUCUUGUCCAUUGUGUCCCUAAGAAGGGAGGUAUUACCGUAGUCCCUAAUGAUAAAGAUGAAUUGAUUCCUCAAAGAAUUAUUAUAGGUUAUAGGAUGGUAAUUGAUUUCCGUAAAUUAAAUAAGGCCACUAAAAAGAUCAUUACCCCUUACCUUUUAUCGAUCAAAUGCUAGAAAGAUUAUCCAAACAUACACAUUUUUGCUUUCUAGAUGGUUAUUCUGGUUUCUCUCAAAUACCUGUGUCAGCCAAUGAUCAAUCAAAGACUACUUUCACUUGCCCUUUUUCUACCUUUGCCUAUAGAUGUAUGCCUUUUGGUUUAUGUAAUGUACCUGCUACCUUUUAAAGAUGCAUGAUGGCUAUAUUCUCUGACUUUUGUGAAAAGAUUUGUGAGGUUUUCAUGGACGAUUUUUCCAUCUAUGGGUCCUCUUUUGAUGAUUGCUUGAGCAACCUUGAUCGAGUUUUGCAGAGAUGUAAAGAAACUAAUCUUGUCUUGAAUUGGGAAAAGUGCCACUUUAUGGUUAAUGAAGGUAUUGUCUUGGGGCAUAAAGUUUCUGAAAGAGGUAUUGAAGUUGAUAAAGCCAAGGUUGAUGCUAUUGAAAAGAUGCCAUGUCCCAAGGACAUCAAAGGUAUAAGAAGUUUCCUUGGUCACGCCGGUUUUUAUAGGAGGUUCAUUAAGGACUUCUCAAAAAUUUCUCGGCCUCUAACUAAUUUAUUAAAAAAAGAUAUACCAUUUGUCUUUGAUGAUGAUUGUGUAGAAGCAUUUGAAAUACUUAAGAAAGCAUUGAUCUCUGCACCUAUUGUUCAGCCACCUGAUUGGAGUUUACCCUUUGAAAUUAUGUGUGAUGCUAGUGAUUAUGCUGUAGGCACUGUUCUAGGGCAAAGAGUUGAUAAGAAAUUAAAUGUUAUUCAAUAUGCUAGUAAAACUCUAGACAAUGCUCGGAGAAAUUAUGCUACUACUGAAAAAGAAUUAUUAGCAGUUGUAUUUGCCCGUGAUAAGUUCAGACCUUAUAUUGUUGAUUCUAAAGUGACUACUCACACAGAUCAUGCUGCUAUUAAAUAUCUUAUGGAAAAGAAAGAUGCUAAACCUAGACUUAUUAGAUGGGUUCUCUUGCUACAAGAAUUUGAUUUGCAUAUUGUUGAUAGAAAGGGAGCUAAGAACCCCGUUGCAGACAACUUGUCUAGGUUAGAAAAUGUUCUUGAUGACCCAAUACCUAUUGAUGAUAGCUUUCCUGAUGAGCAAUUAAAUGUCAUAAAUGCUUCUCGUGCUGCUCCAUGGUAUGUUGAUUAUGCUAAUUACAUUGUUACUAAAUUCAUACCACCUAGUUUCACAUACCAACAAAAGAAAAAGUUCUUCUAUGAUUUGAGGCAUUACUUUUGGGAUGACCCACAUCUUUAUAAAGAAGGAGUAGAUGGUGUUAUUAGACAUUGUGUACAUGAGCAUGAACAGGAACAGAUCCUACGCAAGUGUCACUCCGAAGCUUAUGGAGGACACCACGCUGGAGAUAGAGCUGCACAUAAGGUAUUGCAAUCUGGUUUCUAUUGGCCUACUCUCUUCAAGGAUGCCCGUAAGUUUGUCUUAUCUUGUGAUCAAUGUCAAAGAAUUGGCAAUAUUAGUAGACAUCAAGAAAUGCCUAUGAAUUAUUCACUUGUUAUUGAACCAUUUGAUGUUUGGGGCUUUGAUUAUAUGGGACCUUUUCCUGCCUCUAAUGGUUACACACAUAUUUUAGUUGCUGUUGAUUACGUUACUAAGUGGGUAGAAGCUAUUCCAACUAGUAGUGCUGAUCAUAACACUUCUAUUAAAAUGCUUAAAGAAGUUAUUUUCCUGAGGUUUGGAGUCCCUAGAUAUUUAAUGACUAAUGGUGGUUCACAUUUUAUUCAUGGUGCUUUCCGUAAAAUGCUUGCUAAGUAUGAUGUUAAUCAUAGAAUUGCAUCUCCUUAUCACCCUCAGUCUAGUGGUCAAGUAGAAUUGAGUAAUAGAGAGCUCAAAUUGAUUUUGCAAAAGACUGUCAAUAGGUCUAGAAAGAAUUGGUCCAAGAAACUUGAUGAUGCAUUAUGGGCCUAUAGAACUGCAUAUAAAAAUCCUAUGGGUAUGUCUCCGUAUAAAAUGGUUUAUGGAAAAGCAUGUCACUUACCUCUCGAACUAGAACAUAAGGCAUAUUGGGCUAUUAAAGAGCUCAACUAUGAUUUUAAACUUGCCGGUGAGAAGAGGUUAUUUGAUAUUAGCUCACUUGAUGAAUGGAGAACCCAAGCCUAUGAAAAUGCCAAGUUGUUUAAAGAAAACGUUAAGAGAUGGCAUGACAAAAGGAUACAAAAGCGUGAGUUUAAUGCAUGUGAUUAUGUAUUGCUAUACAACUCUCGUUUAAGAUUUUUUGCAGGAAAACUUCUCUCUAAAUGGGAAGGCCCUUACGUUAUCGAGGAGGUCUAUCAUUCCGGUGCCAUAAAAAUCAACAACUUCGAAGGCACAAAUCCGAAGGUGGUGAACAGUCAAAGAAUUAAACAUUAUAUCUCAGGUAAUCCUAUAAAUGUUGAAUCCAAUGUUAUUGAAACCGUAACCCCGGAGGAAUACAUAAGGGACACUUUCCGGAACGUUUCAGAUUCCGGAAAGGAAUAGGUAUGUGGUACGGUAAGUAAACCGACUCCAAAACAGUUUUUAAGGCAAUAUUUCUUCGUUUUGGAAUAUUUAGAAAAAAUAGAAAAAUAAGAAGUAGUUCGGGAAGGACACGAGGCCUCCACGAGGGUGGAGGGCGCGCCCUACCCUACUGGGUGCGCCCCCUACCUCGUGGGCACCUCGUGCGCUCUCCGGACUCCGUUUUCUUGCACGAUACAUAUUUUGGUCGGUAAAAAUUCAUUAUAUAUUCUCCCGAAGGUUUUGACUCCUGUAGCACGCAAUUAUCCGAUGUUCUUGUUUCGAGCUGUCCUGCUGCAGAUUAGAGCAACAUGUCGUCCCACGACUCGGAAGGAGAAAGCUAUGUGGAUGAGUACCUUGCAGAUCCUAAGGUAUAUGGAGAUGUGGAGCAUUGUGGUUGGAAUACAGAGGAAGAAGAGGACUAUGAACCCAAGAGGAAGGAGGAGACGAGCUCAGAUGAGGAUGAACCCCCACUACCUCAACCUGGGGACAUGCAUGUGGAGUUGAAAAAGUCAAGCCUCCCUGAUAGAACAAAGGAACCUAAGAUCAAGUUUAUCCCUUUUCGUCUCUCGCAGGAAAACAAGCACGAACUAUGCAAAAAGAUAUUAAUCCUGGAGCAGGAGAUUGACGACUUGAGGGAUCAAAAUUCUGUCCUCAAGCGCAAAUUAAGGAAGAAGCCUACACCAUCACCGAAGAAGGAGACAUGAUCAUAUGGAUAUGGGCACUCCCCUUGGCAACUGCCAAGCUUGGGGGAGGUGCCCCGGUAUCGUAUCACAAUCACACUCCUAUCUUUACCGUUUUUCUUAGUUCGAUCCUAUUAGUAGUAUCUUGAUCUAGUAGAAUAAAGUUUAUGGCAUGAUCUAGUUUUGAGUUUUGCUUUAUGAUCCCUCUAUGUAAUCGAGUCCAUGUGCUAUAUAAUAAAGAUUAGUGUUGAGUCAAGGGCUUGAUUAUUUUGCCAUGAUCUUGAGUGAAUAAAAGAAAAGAGAAAAAGAAUAAAAAGAAAUAAGGAGUUCAUAUUGAUCUUAUUGAGAGUAAUGACUUCACAUAGAAAGAGUAUGAUGAUUAAAAGUUGUUGGGAGUUGGCAAACAUAGCUUUGGUCAUUGUUGCAAUUAAUAGGAAGUAAUAAGGAAAGAGAGGUUUCACAUGUAAAUAUACUAUCAUGGACAUCUUUUAUGAUUGGGAGCACUCAUUAAAAUAUGACAUGCUAAAGAGUUGAUGUUGGACAAGGAAGACAACAUAAUGGGUUAUGUUGUCUUAUAUCUGAGAUAAAGUAUAUUGUCAUGGAUCAUCCAACAUGUUGAGCUUGCCUUUCCCCCUCAUGCUAGCCAAAUUCUUAGCACCAAGUAGAGAUACUACUUGUGCUUCCAAAAAACCCUUAAACCAGUUUUGCCACAAGAGUCCACCAUAUCUACCUAUGGAUUGAGUAAGAUCCUUCAAGUAAGUUGUCAUCCAUGCAAGCAAUAAAAAUUGCUCUCUAAAUAUGUAUGAUUGAUUGGUGUGGAGGAAAUAAGCUUUAUACGAUCUUGUGAUAUGGAAGAAAUAAAAGCGACGGACUGCAUAAUAAAGGUUCAUAUCACAAGUGGCAAUAUAAAGUGAUGUUGUUUCGCAUUAAGAUUCGAUGCAUCCAACCUUGAAAGCGCAUGGCAACCCCUGCUUCCCUCUGCGAAGGGCCUAUCUGUUACUAUUAUCUUCUACCUUAUGCAAGAGUCGUGGUGAUCUUCACCUUUCCUUUUUAUAUUUUAUCCUUUGGCAAGCACAGGGUGUUGGAAAGAUCCUGAUAGAUAUAUCUAAUUGGAUAUGGGUUAGCAUGAAUUGUUAUUGUUGACAUUACCCUUGAGGUAAAAGGUUGGGAGGCGAAACAAUAAUCCCCUAUCUUUCUCUGUGUCCGGUUAAAACUCCGUAACCACAAGUAUUGCGUGAGUGUUAGCAAUUAUGAAAGACUAAAUGAUAGCUGAGUACGUGGACUUGCUAAAGAGCUCUGACAUAGACUAUUUCUGAUGUUAUGAUAAAUAGCAAUUGCUUCAAUGACUGAGAUUAUAGUUUGUUAGUUCUCAAUAAGGUUUCUGAUUCAUACUUUGCAUUGUGACUAGAUUAUUACUUGAGCAUAAGAAAUCAUAUGACAAUAUCUAUAUAUGUUGCUGUUAUGAGAAUAAUCAUGAUGCCCUCAUGUCCGUAUUUUAUUUUUAUCGACACCUCUACCUCUAAACAUGUGGACAUAUUUAUCGUUAUCGGCUUCCACUUGAGGACAAGCGAGGUCUAAGCAUGGGGGAGUUGAUACGUCCAUUUUGCAUCAUGCUUUUAUAUCAAUAUUUAUUGCAUUAUGGGCUGUUAUUACACAUUAUGUCACAAUACUUAUGCCUAUUCUCUCUUAUUUUACAAGGUUUACAUAAGGAGGGAGAAUGCCGGCAGCUGGAAUUCUGGGCUGGAAAAGGAGCAAAUAUUAGAGACCUAUUCUGCACAACUCCAAAAGUCCCGAAACUCCACGAAAGUUAUUUUUAAAAAUAAUAAAAAAAUAUUGAGCGAAAGAAGUACGUUAGAGGGCGCCCCACCUGGCCACGAGGGUGGGGGCGCGCCCUACCCCCCCAGGGCACGCCCCCUGCCUCGUGGGCCCCCUGUUGGCUCUCCGGUGGCCAUCUUUUGCUAUAUGAAGUCAUUCGUCAAGGGAAAAAUCUGAAGCAACCUUUCGGGACGAGACUCCACCGCCACGAGGCGGAACCUUGGCGGAACCAAUCUAGUGCUCCGGCAGAGCUGUUCUGCCGGGGACACUUCCCUCCGGGAGGGGGAAAUCAUCGCCAUCGUCAUCACCAAUGCUCCUCUCACCGAGAGAGGGCAAUCUCCAUCAACAUCUUCACCAACACCACCUCCUCUCAAAACCCUAGUUCAUCUCUUGUAUCCAAUUCUUGUCUCCAAGUCUAGGAUUGGUACCUGUGGGUUGCUAGUAGUGUUAAUUACUCCUUGUAGUUGAUGCUAGUUGGUUUAUUUGGUGGAAGAUCAUAUGUUCAGAUCCUAUAUGCAUAUUAAUACCCCUCUGAUUAUGAACAUGAAUAUGCUUUGUGAGUAGUUACGUUUGUUCCUGAGGACAUGGGAGAAGUAUUGCUAUUAGUAGUCAUGUGAAUUUGGUAUUCGUUCGAUAUUUUGAUGAGAUGUAUGUUGUCUCUCCUCUAGUGGUGUUAUGUGAACGUCGACUACAUAACACUUCACCAUUAUUUGGGCCUAGAGGAAGGCAUUGGGAAGUAAUAAGUAGAUGAUGGGUUGCUAGAGUGACAAAAGUUUAAACCCUAGUUUAUGCGUUGCUUCGUAAGGGGCUGAUUUGGAUCCAUAUGUUUCAUGCUAUGGUUAGGUUUACCUUAAUACUUUUGUUGUAGUUGCGGCUGCUUGCAAUAGAGGUUAAUCAUAAGUGGGGUGCUUGUUCAAGUAAGAACAACACCCAAGCACCGGUCCACCCACAUAUCAAAUUAUCAAAGUACCGAACGCAAAUCAUAUGAACGUGAUGAAAACUAGCUUGACGAUAUUCCCAUGUGUCCUCGGGAGCGCUUUUCUUUAUAUAAGAGUUUGUCCAGGCUUGUCCUUUCCUACAAAAAGGAUUGGGCCACCUUGCUGCACUUUAUUUACUUUUGUUACUUGUUGCUCGUUACAAAUUAUCCUAUCACAAAACUAUCUGUUACCACUUAUUUCAGUACUUGCAGAGAAUACCUUGCUGAAAACCGCUUAUCAUUUCCUUCUGCUCCUCGUUGGGUUCGACACUCUUACUUAUCGAAAGGACUACGAUAGAUCCCCUAUACUUGUGGGUCAUUAGUGCCCACAAAACCUUUUCAGCUACAAGAAAUUGAAAAGGUCAUAAAAGAAAUGCCCACUGAUAAGGCACUAGGGCCAGAUGGUUUUAAUGGCCUUCUCAUAAAGAAAUGUUGGUCUAUCAUUUCCAGUGAUUUCAUUAGGUUGGUGAAUGAAUUUCAUGCAGGCACUGCUCUUUUGGAAAAUCUCAAUGAAGCUUUCAUUAAUUUAAUCCCAAAAAAGCAAACACCUGAGGGUGUAGGAGAUUUUAGGACAAUCUCCUUGACAAGUGUGGGACUGAAAUUUUUGACUAAAUUGGCAGCUAACAAGUUUCAAGAUGAAAUCACCAACUGUGUUCAUAAGAAUCAGUAUGGCUUCAUUAAAUCAAGAACAAUUCAAGAUUGUAUUGCUUGGACUUUUGAGUAUAUUCAUCAAUGCAACCAUUCAAAGAAGCCAAUCAUACUGCUCAAGCUGGACUUUGAAAAAGCUUUUGACUCUAUUCAGCAUGAGGCAAUUUUGAAAAUUCUUGUGGCAAAAGGUUUUGAUAGCAAAUGGAUCACCUGGGUUCAACAACUACUAUCUUCUGCAACUUCAUCUAUCCUGUUAAAUGGUGUACCUGGAAAACAUCUCAAGUGCAAAUGUGGUGUAAAGCAGGGAGACCCUAUCUCUCCUUUGCUUUUUCUGAUUGCUGCUGAUCGUUUGCAGACUAUGAUCAAUGAUCUUCUGUGUAAGGGUCUGCUAACCUUGCCAUUGCCAACACACGAUCCUGAUUAUCUAGUGGUGCAGUAUGCUGAUGACACUUUACUAUUUGUGAAUGCUGACUCAGCUCAGUUGGAGGUCCUCAAAAUAGUGUUGAAAUCCUUUUCUUUGGCAACUGGACUUCAAAUUAACUUCCAUAAAUCUUCAAUGUACCCAAUCAAUGUGGAGUCCUCUGUUGCUACUGCACUUGCUGCUCUGUUUGGUUGCCAGCUAGGUUCAAUGCCCUUCACUUAUUUGGGACUUCCUGUUGGAACCACUCGGCCCAAAAUUGUAGAUUUGCUACCUUUGGUGGACUGCAUGGAAAGAAGGCUAACUGCUAGCUCUUGGUUCUUACCACAAGGCAGUAGGUUGCAACUGGUAAAUUCAGUGAUAUCUUCAUUGCCUGUUUUCUUCCUUUCUAGUCUAUCGUUGCCACAAGGAAUUCUAAAGCAAUUAGAAAGGAUUCAGAGACAGUGCCUCUGGAGGAAAUAUGGACAAGAGAAGGGGCACUCUUUGGCUGCUUGGCCCCUUGUCUGCAAGCCUAUGAUGAAGGGGGCCUUGGAAUUUUGAAUCUGGGACUACAGAAUGAUGCACUGCUUCUUAAGUACCUGAAUAAAUUCUAUAAUAAAGCAGAUGUGCCAUGGGUACGUUUGGUGUGGGACUCAUACUACUUUCAGAGAAUUCCUCAUGACACUACUCUAUGUGGAUCUUUCUGGUGGAGGGACAUUUGCAAAUUAAUGGACAAGUUUAGGGAUGUUACCUCUGUCUCUGUUGGAAGAGGGGAUUCUGUGUUAUUUUGGUCUGAUCAUUGGGAAAUUGACCAGUCUUGCAUUCCUCUGCAAGAAAGGUUUCCAAGGCUUUUCUCAUUUUGCCUACAGAAGAACCUCUCUGUCAUGGAAGUGGUACAGACAGGAAAUUUGCAGAAAAUGUUUUCCUUACCAUUGUCUGAACUGGCUUUUAGGGAGUUCAAUCAGUUAUCAAGCUUGUUAGAUAUGACCUUCUUGGACAAUGAUUGUAAUGAUAAAUGGAAUUGGAGGCAUGGAAAAAAGGCAGAGUACUCAGCAAAAAUGUACUAUGAUUUUGCCCAUCAGCCUGUUUCUGCCAAUCCUAUUCUGAGCUGGGUUUGGAAGAGUUGAUGUACCAUGACAAUUAAAAUGUUUGCCUGGCUGGUAAUUAUGGACAGAAUUAACACCAAGGAUAUGAUUCAAUGACGCCAUUGGAAAAUUGAUGAUGGACCUAGUUGUGUCCUAUGCCCGACUGGAGUACUUGAGGAUAGGAACCAUCUGUUCUUCCAAUGUAACUUUAGUAUGAGAAUAUGGAACUAUCUGCAGGUUUCCUGGUUGGAUAGCAACGCUAUGGUGCAAAUUACCUUACAUGCCAGGAGGGAGUUUAAUAAGCCUUUCUUCUCAGAGGUGGUAUUUCUUGCAUGGUGGAAUAUUUGGGAAGUUCGGAAUGACAGGGCUUUUAGGCAGGUCAAACCAACUUUUAGGCAGUGGAGAAAUGGGUUUAUCCAUGAUAUUACUCUUCUUUCACACCGGAUCAAGACCAGAUACAAGGAAGCUCUACUCAAAUGGAUUGAUUUCUUGCCCCCUUGAGGCCCUUCUUAUUUGUAUCUUCUUUCUUUCCUAGUAAUAGAUUUUAGUGCCUCUCCUUUCUUUUAUUAGAUUUCUUUAGCCUUUCUUGUAUAGUUUUUUUUGUUUCUUUGUUCCUCCUCUUGAGGAAUCAUGUAUUUGUACCUUGUUUUUCUUUCUAAUAAAAUGCUGUGGGGUGUAAGCCCUGCAGUCUUCUAGGUAAAAAAAACCAAAUUGUAUACCUAUCAGUACAUGUGACACAUAUGAGGUAUCAUACACAAUUUUUAAUCAAACUAUAAAAAAUAGCGCGCCAGCAUGAGUUGAAAUCUAGACCUCUAGGUCUAAGGAGAAGCACACUAACCAACUAGAACAUCCUAAUGCUGGUGUCUAUUUACUUCUUUUUUUGUAUUUUUCUACUCAGUUAGCGGCUGGGCUGGCCCAUUAUUGAACCGGUAUAUCAGUAUUCAUUUUUUCUAUUUCUUUUUUCUUUUUUCUUUUUUACUUUUUCAUUUCUUUUUUCUUUUUCCAAAAAUGCUCACACUUACAGUUUGUUUUAAAAAAUCGUAAAAAUGUUCACUUUUUAAAAUUUUGUUCACAACAUACAAAUAUUCGCAUUUUAAAAAAUUGUACAGACAUGUAAAAAAUUGUUCGUUCAAAUAGAAAAAUGCUCACAUCAAUAUAAUUAAAUAGAAAAAAUAUAUCUUAAAUAGAAAAAAUAUUUGUUUAAACAAAAAAUGUUUGUUUAUUGUUCGUUUAAAGAGAAACAUACUCACAUAAAAAAAUUGAAAACUUUUGAAAUUUCUGACCAUCUAUUAAAUAUAAAAAUGAAAAUGAAAAUAUAUAAAUCAGUGACCUGUUUAUUGUUCUUUUUUGUUUCUUUUUCGUUCUUCUUGUUUUUCAUUUUCCAUUUUUGUUCUUUUUCUUUUUCGAAAAAUGCUCGGGUCUGCCGCAGGGUGAGUCCAAAGGACUUUUUUUCCAGCUCCACCAAAUAACCCCAAACUUUUUGCACACAUUAGCAUCACCAUGGACAACAUGCAUACUAAUUUUCAUCGAUUUCUUACACUUGAUGCAUUUCCUAUGAUCUUCCCGGUGAAAAAACCCUAAAACACUGGUCGGACGUGAUGCAAUGUUCGUUCAUUGGACCUUCCCACAUGGUGGAAAAGUUUGAUGUCAUUUCAUGCAUGCCACCACAUAGCACAUGUGCAACCAGCAUCGUUCGGGUCUGUUGGAGGAGGAGUCUGAAGGAUGUUUUUUAACUCCACCAAAUGACCCAGACUUUUUUAAGACAUUGGCAUCACCAUGGACAUCAUGCAUUCCAAUUUUCAUCGAUUUCCGACAUUUCCUAUAAUUUUCCUGGUGAAAAUCCUAAAACACUGGCUCGACGUGACGUAACGUUCAUUUGGUAUCCGAAUUCAUUCAAAUCUUGUGUGGGGGGUACAUUGGGCAUUACCACAUGGAGGCAAAGUUUGGUGUCAUUUCAUUCAUGCCACCACAUACCACAUGUGCAACCAGCACCGUUCGGGUCUGCCAUAAGGGGAGUCCGAAGGACGUUUAUUUUCAACUCCACCAAAUGACCCCAAACUUUUUCACACAUUAGCAUCACCAUGUAUAACAUGCAUACCAAUUUUCAUUGAUUUCCGACACUUGAUGCAUUUUCUAUGAUUUUCCAGGUGAAAAAACCCCAAAACACUGGCCGGACGUGACGCAACGUUUGUUUUUUGUCCGAAUUUGUUCAAAUCUUGCGUGGGGGCCUACAUUGUGCAUUUUCACAUGGUGGCAAAGUUUGGUGUCAUUUCAUGCAUGCCACCACAUAGCACAUGUGCAACCAGCACCAUUUGGGUCUGCCGCAGGGGGAGUUCGAAGGACGUUUGUUUUUCAAUUCCAGCAAAUGACCUCAAUUUUUUCACACAUUGGCAUCGCCAUGGACAGCAUGCAUGCCAUUUUUCAUCGAUUUCCGACACUCGAUGCAUUUCCUAUGAUUUUUUUCGGUGAAAAAUCCUAAAAAAACUGGCGGGACGUGACACAACGUUCGUCCGUGUCUGAAUUUCUUCAAAUAUUGUGUGGGGGACUACAUUGGGCAUUCCCACAUGAUGACAAAGUUUAAUGUCAUUUCAUGCAUGUCACCACAUAGCACAUGUUCAACCAGCAUCGUUCAGGUCUGCCGGAGGAGGAGUCCGGAGGACUUUUUUUUCAACUCCACCAAAUUACCCCAAACUUUUUUCUCACAUUGGAAUCACCGUGGACAACAUGCAUGCCAAUUUUCAUCAAUUUCCGACACUCAAUGCAUUUCCUAUGAUAUUCUCGGUGAAAAAAAAUCCUAAAACACUGGCCGGACGUGUCACAACAUUUGUUUGGUGUCCGAAUUCGUUCAAAUCUUGUGUGGGGGCCUAUAUUGGCAUUUCCACAUGGUUGCAAAGUUUCAUGUCAUUUAAUCCAUGCCACAAUUUAGCACAUGUGCAACCAGUACCGUUCGGGUCUGCCGAAGGGGGAGUACGAAGGACAUUUUUUUCUACUCCACCAAAUGUCCCCAAACUUUUUUCACACAUUGGCAUCACCAUGGACCACAUGCAUUCCAAUUUUCAUCGAUUUCUGAUACUCGAUGCAUUUUCUAUGAUUUUUCCGGUGAAAACCCCAUAAAACACUGGCCGGACGUGAUGUAACGUUCGCUUGGUUUCCGAAUUCGUUCAAAUCUUGCAUGGGGGCCUACAUUGGGCAUUCCCACAUGGUGGCAAAGUUUGGUGUCAUUUCAUACAUGCCACCAUAUAGCACAUGUGCAAUCAGCACCGUUCGUGACUACCGGAGGGGGCGAAUGACUUUUUUUAACUCCAACAAAUGACCCCAAACUUUUUUCAUAUAUUGGCAUCACCAUGAACAGCACCAAGAACAUUGGCAUCAAUAAGAACAUUGGCAUCACCGUGGACAGCACCAAUAUUUCUUUUUUCACACAUUGGAAUCGACAAGAACAUUUUUUUGUAUUUCAAACAAUAUUUCAAAAUUUUAAAAAGGUUUCAAAAGAAAAAUAAAGUUCAAAAAAGAUAAUGAAUUGACAUGAAAAUAGAAAUUGUCGUUAUUUCGCAUUAUAUGGACAUGGAGCGAAUGCCAAAAGCAUAUAUGAAAGCAGUGUAACUAAAGGAAGUUUAUGAAUAUCAGGGAAGCAUAUUUUCUAUCAAACUAAAUACAUUAUAUCGAAGCAAAGUUCAGUGGUGUCGGUAUUAUCGACGUCGAGUAACACCGGAAGCAAAAUAUGCUUCUUGAAGGAAAAUAAUAGAAAAUUGAAACAAUAUUUUGUUUCUAAAUAAAUAAUAAAAACAAAUUGUUACAUUGGACGUAAAACUUUAUUCGAUUGAAGCAAAUUUAACAUGUACGUGAAGCUAACUUUAGUAGGAAGAGAAACAAAAUUUCAUCCAGUACAAAAGAGAGAAUAAGUCGUCGCUUGAUUUGUGGGUCUGAUUAGUUUGAGAAAUAGAAUUACAUGGAAAUAAAGAUAGACCCACGUUCCAUUCCAACCAAUCGUAAUUUUUGGGACCAAUUAAUUCUAGGAAGCACAUUAGACAGGACCAAUUAAUUCUUCAAAGCAGAUUCAUAGGAAACUACCACGAGAAAGACCAGCAGGUUCCUUUUAAUCGAACGGACAUAAGCGACCUAGUCAUAUGGUAUUGGGCAAGUCAAUGCUACCUGAUUCCUUAGAGGUACCUUAUAUAUUUUUUGCUUACCAAUAUCAUCAGCCAGAGCGUAGUUUUUGAAGGGAACAAUUGCUAUUCCAUUACAGAGACCUGCUGGUUAAAUCCCCAGCUACAGAGUUCAUUACAAGUUCAGGAAACUGGCCUAACCAGAUUUCGUACAUGCCAUCUCCUAAGCUAGCUCCAUGUGCUGCUAAGACAUGCGCUGCAUUGUUACAAGACCUAGGGCAUACAUAAAGUUUUACAUUCUCAAAAGCGACCCUCAGUUGAAAUUUUAU